GAUGAACGCUGGCGGCGUGCUUAACACAUGCAAGUCGAACGAUGAAGCCCAGCUUGCUGGGUGGAUUAGUGGCGAACGGGUGAGUAACACGUGAGUAACCUGCCCUUAACUCUGGGAUAAGCCUGGGAAACUGGGUCUAAUACCGGAUAGGAGCGCCUACCGCAUGGUGGGUGUUGGAAAGAUUUAUCGGUUUUGGAUGGACUCGCGGCCUAUCAGCUUGUUGGUGAGGUAAUGGCUCACCAAGGCGACGACGGGUAGCCGGCCUGAGAGGGUGACCGGCCACACUGGGACUGAGACACGGCCCAGACUCCUACGGGAGGCAGCAGUGGGGAAUAUUGCACAAUGGGCGAAAGCCUGAUGCAGCGACGCCGCGCGAGGGAUGACGGCCUUCGGGUUGUAAACCUCUUUCAGUAGGGAAGAAGCGAAAGUGACGGUACCUGCAGAAGAAGCACCGGCUAACUACGUG
rnacentral:rRNA from 1 species